UACGAAGGGGGCUAGCGUUGUCCGGAAUCAUUGGGCGUAAAGGGCGCGUAGGCGGCCAUGACAAGUCACUUGUGAAAUCUCCGGGCUUAACUCGGAACGGUCAAGUGAUACUGUCGGGCUAGAGUGCAGAAGGGGCAACUGGAAUUCUCGGUGUAGCGGUGAAAUGCGUAGAUAUCGAGAGGAACACCUGCGGCGAAGGCGGGUUGCUGGGCUGACACUGACGCUGAGGCGCGAAAGCCAGGGGAGCGAACGGG
rnacentral:rRNA from 1 species